AUUCCGGUUGAUCCUGCCGGAGGUCAUUGCUAUUGGGGUCCGAUUUAGCCAUGCUAGUUGCACGAGUUCAUACUCGUGGCGAAAAGCUCAGUAACACGUGGCCAAACUACCCUACAGAGAACGAUAACCUCGGGAAACUGAGGCUAAUAGUUCAUACGGGAGUCAUGCUGGAAUGCCGACUCCCCGAAACGCUCAGGCGCUGUAGGAUGUGGCUGCGGCCGAUUAGGUAGACGGUGGGGUAACGGCCCACCGUGCCGAUAAUCGGUACGGGUUGUGAGAGCAAGAGCCCGGAGACGGAAUCUGAGACAAGAUUCCGGGCCCUACGGGGCGCAGCAGGCGCGAAACCUUUACACUGCACGCAAGUGCGAUAAGGGGACCCCAAGUGCGAGGGCAUAUAGUCCUCGCUUUUCUCGACCGUAAGGCGGUCGAGGAAUAAGAGCUGGGCAAGACCGGUGCCAGCCGCCGCGGUAAUACCGGCAGCUCAAGUGAUGACCGAUAUUAUUGGGCCUAAAGCGUCCGUAGCCGGCCACGAAGGUUCAUCGGGAAAUCCGCCAGCUCAACUGGCGGGCGUCCGGUGAAAACCACGUGGCUUGGGACCGGAAGGCUCGAGGGGUACGUCCGGGGUAGGAGUGAAAUCCCGUAAUCCUGGACGGACCACCGAUGGCGAAAGCACCUCGAGAAGACGGAUCCGACGGUGAGGGACGAAAGCUAGGGUCUCGAACCGGAUUAGAUACCCGGGUAGUCCUAGCUGUAAACGAUGCUCGCUAGGUGUGACACAGGCUACGAGCCUGUGUUGUGCCGUAGGGAAGCCGAGAAGCGAGCCGCCUGGGAAGUACGUCCGCAAGGAUGAAACUUAAAGGAAUUGGCGGGGGAGCACUACAACCGGAGGAGCCUGCGGUUUAAUUGGACUCAACGCCGGACAUCUCACCAGCUCCGACUACAGUGAUGACGAUCAGGUUGAUGACCUUAUCACGACGCUGUAGAGAGGAGGUGCAUGGCCGCCGUCAGCUCGUACCGUGAGGCGUCCUGUUAAGUCAGGCAACGAGCGAGACCCGCACUUCUAAUUGCCAGCAGCAGUUUCGACUGGCUGGGUACAUUAGAAGGACUGCCGCUGCUAAAGCGGAGGAAGGAACGGGCAACGGUAGGUCAGUAUGCCCCGAAUGAGCUGGGCUACACGCGGGCUACAAUGG
rnacentral:rRNA from 1 species